rnacentral:rRNA from 1 species
GACGAACCGUGCGAACGUUGUUCGGAAUCACUGGGCUUAAAGGGAGCGUAGGCGGUUGGGAUAGUCCGUGGUGAAAUCCUCCGGCUCAACCGGAGAACGGCCUCGGAUACUACCCAUCUCGAGUAAGGUAGGGGCACGCGGAACGGAUGGUGGAGCGGUGAAAUGCGUUGAUAUCAUUCGGAACUCCGGUGGCGAAGGCGGCGUGCUGGACCUUAACUGACGCUGAGGCUCGAAAGCCAGGGGAGCAAACGGG